UACGUAGGGUGCAAGCGUUGUCCGGAAUUAUUGGGCGAAAAGAGCUCGUAGGCGGUCUGUCGCGUCUGCUGUGAAAACUCAGGGCUUAACCCUGAGCUUGCAGUGGGUACGGGCAGACUAGAGUGCGGUAGGGGAGACUGGAAUUCCUGGUGUAGCGGUGAAAUGCGCAGAUAUCAGGAGGAACACCGGUGGCGAAGGCGGGUCUCUGGGCCGUAACUGACGCUGAGGAGCGAAAGCAUGGGGAGCGAACAGG
rnacentral:rRNA from 1 species